CCAAAGGCUCUUCUGAGAGCCUUCAUAUAUAUGGGAAAACUUGCAGU
rfam:Ictidomys tridecemlineatus contig013560, whole genome shotgun sequence.